GUAUUGCUUUCCUUCCCUGCCAUCGUGAAGACCCAGGCCACUUAUAAAGAUAGAUAUUGAAGUGACUGGCUUGAACUUUCUGCGAGAUAAGAAUAUGGUGUAUUAAAGACCGAGCUGUGAUAGUGCUAGUCAGUCAGCUGUUAGAAGUACAGGUCACAAUUCCCGACACUAGAGAGAAGGGUGCGCACACGAGGCUCCACUUACCACACUUCAAAGCAAAAUGAGAAGGUUCCUCUUUGUGGCGGCCCUGGUGGGAGUCGUUCUGUCGGACUAUGUCCACAUGCGUGAGCCAUGUCCAGAGUCAGAGGUGUGCCCCGGACAUCCUGAAGCGAUCUGCAAGAAGGACUGUCUUACCGUUCUGUUUACCGGCAUCGGCCUAGACUGCAUCUACCACUUCUACAACGCCAAAGACGAGCUCCUCGAUUGCUUCAUGUGAGGAUGACAAGCUGCUGGAUAUAAUGUAGACCAAAACAUUUCUUUGUUCUUUCCGUUCUAACUACAUUUAGGGCAUGUUCAUGAAACGAAAAUAUUGUCAAAUAAAGUAAAGAAGCAAUUAGUGAA